rnacentral:lncRNA from 1 species
GACCGUGUAUGUCUGUGCUAGAUUGGACCAUCAACAACUUCAACUGUCAAGUUUCAGCUGUAAAGAGGGGUAUAAGUGGCUGGACUUGAUGAUUACUGAAUUGGAACCGCACUAUAGUACCUGUUCUGCUUUAUCAGGGCUUUCCAUAAAUUUGUUGAGGUUUUCAUAUUUGUAAAAACCCGGACUCUGCUUGAUUUGGCUUAUGCUGAACCAAAUUUGUAACGAAAGG